rnacentral:siRNA from 1 species
UUCUUUCUUGUGCUUGGUUAAUU